UGAGGAAUAUUGGUCAAUGGAGGCAACUCUGAACCAGCCACGUCGCGUGAAGGAUGACGGCCCUAUGGGUUGUAAACUUCUUUUGUAAGGGAAUAAAGUGCAGUACGUGUACUGUUUUGCAUGUACCUUACGAAUAAGGAUCGGCUAACUCCGUGCCAGCAGCCGCGGUAAUACGGAGGAUCCGAGCGUUAUCCGGAUUUAUUGGGUUUAAAGGGUGCGCAGGCGGGGGAUUAGGUCGGCGGUGAAAUAUCAGGGCUCAACCUUGAGAGUGCCGUCGAAACCGGUUUUCUUGAGUGCGGAUGAAGUAGGCGGAAUUUGUGGUGUAGCGGUGAAAUGCAUAGAUAUCACGAGGAACUCCGAUUGCGCAGGCAGCUUACUAGGCCAUAACUGACGCUCAGGCACGAAGGCGUGGGGAUCAAACAGG
rnacentral:rRNA from 2 species